rnacentral:piRNA from 1 species
UGCUUUAGGACUCAUGGCCGCCUUUGGCAU